rnacentral:rRNA from 1 species
AGAGUUUGAUCCUGGCUCAGGAUGAACGCUGGCGGUAUGCUUAACACAUGCAAGUCAUACGAGAGUUUUUAACUCAAGUGGCGGACGGGUGAGUAACACGUGAGAAUUUGCCUUUAGGAGGGGGAUAACAAUUGGAAACGAUUGCUAAUACCCCAUAUGUUUACGAAUGAAAUGGAGAAAUCCGCCUAAAGAGAAGCUCGCGGCUGAUUAGCUUGUUGGUAAGGUAAUGGCUUACCAAGGCGACGAUCAGUAUCUGGUUUGAGAGGACGACCAGACACACUGGAACUGAGACACGGUCCAGACUCUUACGGGAGGCAGCAGUGAGGAAUUUUCCGCAAUGGGCGAAAGCCUGACGGAGCAAUACCGCGUGAAGGAAGAAGGCCUAUGAGUUGUAAACUUCUUUUUUCAGGGAGGAAUCAAUGACGUCUACCUGAAGAAUAAGCAUCGGCUAACUCCGUGCCAGCAGCCGCGGUAAUACGGGGGAUGCAAGUGUUAUCCGGAAUCACUGGGCGUAAAGCGUCUGUAGGUUGUUAAAUAAGUCUAUUGUUAAAUCUUGGAGCUCAACUCCAAACCUGCAGUGGAAACUAUUUGACUAGAGUAUAGUAGGGGUAAAGGGAAUUUCCAGUGGAGCGGUGAAAUGUGUAGAGAUUGGAAAGAACACCGAUGGCGAAGGCACUUUACUGGGCUAUUACUGACACUCAGAGACGAAAGCUAGGGUAGCAAAUGGGAUUAGAUACCCC